GUCCCUGUAGCGCAAUGGGUAGUCCGUUUUGGACUUCUAAUACAAAGAUCGUGGGUUCGAAUCCCACCUGGGUUG